rnacentral:sRNA from 1 species
UCAAUGAGGUACUUCAAGUCAUUUUGGAUAAAAGUGUCUGCUAAAUACCAUUUA